UAUUUGUUCACAGAAAACGUCCGCAGCGUUGAAUACGCUGUGCACAGAAACUUCAUCAUAUUGUACUAAUGUGGUUACAAAGAAGCACUGCUGGGCCGCCGAGAACAAUUUUCCAUUUAAAAGCCUGCAAACGUGCUGCUGCUUCUGCUUGAUGAGACAUACCCUGUUCAUCAAAACUGACGCAGCUGUUUCGGACGUAGCAAAAGGAUGGCUCAUGUUUGCUUCAGAUCAAGAAGAUGCACCUAUGCGAGAAAGCAUGCCGCUACGAUAGAUGACUUCAAGAGAAGCCCAAGCAACACUUCAGAAUCAGAAGAGUUCGCGAAAUGGAAAAACGGCAUAUUGCCUUCUAUAUAUUACGUGUAAAAUAAACCUGAAGCACUAAAAA